AGGGUACCAGUAUAUCACCAUAUGGUUCCGUGCACACCCCAUUUUGUGCCCCACAAUAUGCACAAAACGAUGUGACCAUGCAAGGUCACAACGGGCAGCUUUUGAAAGACCUUGCCAUCCAAAAGAUGACAAAAAUGCUUGCCGAAGUGCUGGUGGUUGUCAAUGAACUGUCAAGGGAUGUGCAGAUCAUGGGUGAAUUAGCAGAGGCUAGAAUGACCCCAUCUUGUGGACCAGGGCCAGCCACAAGCCAAGAGAUGUUCCCCAUUCAGCUGCCUAUCACCAACGAAGAUGACUUCAAUGAGGCCGAAACAUUGUUGGGAACUGAGCCAGUCCGACAAAAGAUGAUUGCCCGCUUGGCCUUGGUGGGAGGCACUAGCUCCACAUGUAUGGUAAGGAGGAUGCUUGCAACGGUUUUGACCAACGGCCUGGCCUGCAAGUUCAAUUGGGCAGGAAAAACCUGCACACAAAGGGAUGCCAAGCAGCCCUUCAAAGACACAGCCCUGCAAGACUGCAUGUUUGGUGAGUUUAUCUAAAUAUUCCUUGUGCUGUUUUGACACACUAACAGUAAUCUGCAUUUAAGGCCAAACAAAAGCAUUUUCGGUCUCUCUACACAUCGUAAGUGUAACUGGACUGUUGACAUUUCAACUGCAUUAGCACUAUUGCACUUUGGGUUAUUAUUUUUACACUGCCC
ensembl:lncRNA